rnacentral:rRNA from 1 species
CAGUCGCCGCGGUAAUACGGAGGGUGCAAGCGUUAAUCGGAAUUACUGGGCGUAAAGCGUGCGUAGGCGGUUCGUUAAGUCUGUUGUGAAAGCCCCGGGCUCAACCUGGGAAUGGCAAUGGAUACUGGCGAGCUAGAGUGUGUCAGAGGAUGGUGGAAUUCCCGGUGUAGCGGUGAAAUGCGUAGAGAUCGGGAGGAACAUCAGUGGCGAAGGCGGCCAUCUGGGACAACACUGACGCUGAGGCACGAAAGCGUGGGGAGCAAACAGGAUUAGAGACCCCCGUAGUCCCUGUCUCUUAUAC